CUGGGCACAGAUAUCUCAGGAAGGGGAGACACUCCACUGCUGCUGGUAACUUGGGAGCUCAGAAGAGAGAUUCUUCUGGGGUGGAACUUAUUGCUUUGAUGAGAGGGGUUCCUCAGGUUCUGCUGUACUUCAGGAUGAAGGCUCUUAGGAAACUCUUUUUAGAUCUUUGAUGAGAGGGAUUUUCCCUGAUGAGGAUGAUACUUCUGAGAGAGCACAAUAAGGCUAGAGACAAAGGACCCUAGAGAAUGGAGUCAAUUGCACCUACCAAGAUGAAGAGUCAUUAAUGAGGCAAUGACAACAGGAAGAAGUGAACAUGGAGGAGCCAAGGGCACCUCUCCUUCUGCCUUCUGAUCUCCUUACUGCCAGUACUUCUCCGACCCUGAAGGGAGCAAGUGGACAAAAAAGGACAAGUAGCCUAAAGGGAUGGAGUGUCUGUGAAACUAAUGUGUGCCAUACACACAUGAAGACUCUUCAGACCUAACACUGGAGACAAGAAGAGACCAAGGCACUGUUCUUGUGUGGGGGCCUAGAGAUGCAGUAAUCUCAGGCCAGGAAGUCCAUCUCUUCUGUGGGCGGCAGGAAGGAGCGUGACCCGCUGUUUUCUCAGGGGCCUAGCUGGUGGGCUGGAUGAGAGUCCUGUCCUGAUGUAAGCAAAGCCUCUCUCCCACCUUCUGCUCUGCUGCUUUGAUGUCCUUGAUUCCAGGGCUGAGCUAGCUGCUCCUUGGGCUGGAUCAGGAAGGACCAUGGACCAUGGACCGUUGCCUUGGGGUAUGCAGUUUGCCCUUCUCUCUCCCUUCAAGACCAAGAGUUUCUUGACACCAGGAUCUUGUGCCACCUUCUUUGCCUACAGCAACAUGCCUGCACUGAAUUAUUUGCUUUCUUUCCUUUGUUUCCUUUUCAUCUUCCUUCCUCCCUUCGUUUUACUUUUUUAUUUGUUCUUCUUUUUAAUUAAUCAAAGUAAAUGUUGCUAACAGAACAUGAUUUUCCAGUCUCAGGAACAGUCAGGAGAGGAUCACU